rnacentral:rRNA from 4 species
CUUGGUCAUUUAGAGGAAGUAAAAGUCGUAACAAGGUCUCCGUUGGUGAACCAGCGGAGGGAUCAUUACCGAGUUAUACAACUCAUCAACCCUGUGAACAUACCUAAAACGUUGCUUCGGCGGGAACAGACGGCCCUGUAACAACGGGCCGCCCCCGCCAGAGGACCCCUAACUCUGUUUUUAUAAUGUUUUUCUGAGUAAACAAGCAAAUAAAUUAAAACUUUCAACAACGGAUCUCUUGGCUCUGGCAUCGAUGAAGAACGCAGCGAAAUGCGAUAAGUAAUGUGAAUUGCAGAAUUCAGUGAAUCAUCGAAUCUUUGAACGCACAUUGCGCCCGCCAGUAUUCUGGCGGGCAUGCCUGUUCGAGCGUCAUUACAACCCUCAGGCCCCCGGGCCUGGCGUUGGGGAUCGGCGGAAGCCCCCUGUGGGCACACGCCGUCCCUCAAAUACAGUGGCGGUCCCGCCGCAGCUUCCAUUGCGUAGUAGCUAACACCUCGCAACUGGAGAGCGGCGCGGCCAUGCCGUAAAACACCCAACUUCUGAAUGUUGACCUCGAAUCAGGUAGGAAUACCCGCUGAACUUAAGCAUAUCAAUAAGCGGAGGA